CAGCCGCCGCGGGAACACGUAGGGUGCAAGCGUUAAUCGGAAUUACUGGGCGUAAAGCGUGCGCAGGCGGUUAUAUAAGACAGAUGUGAAAUCCCCGGGCUCAACCUGGGAACUGCAUUUGUGACUGUAUAGCUAGAGUACGGCAGAGGGGGAUGGAAUUCCGCGUGUAGCAGUGAAAUGCGUAGAUAUGCGGAGGAACACCGAUGGCGAAGGCAAUCCCCUGGGCCUGUACUGACGCUCAUGCACGAAAGCGUGGGGAGCAAACAGGAUUAGAGACCCCUGUAGUCCCUGUCUCUUAUAC
rnacentral:rRNA from 1 species